rnacentral:rRNA from 1 species
GCAUAUCAAUAAGCGGAGGAAAAGAAACCAACAGGGGAUUGCCCUAGUAACGGCGAGUGAAGCGGCAACAGCUCAAAUUUGAAAUCUGGCUUCGGCCCGAGUUGUAAUUUGCAGAGGAAGCUUUAGGCGCGGCACCUUCUGAGUCCCCUGGAACGGGGCGCCAUAGAGGGUGAGAGCCCCGUAUAGUUGGAUGCCUAGCCUGUGUAAAGCUCCUUCGACGAGUCGAGUAGUUUGGGAAUGCUGCUCAAAAUGGGAGGUAAAUUUCUUCUAAAGCUAAAUACCGGCCAGAGACCGAUAGCGCACAAGUAGAGUGAUCGAAAGAUGAAAAGCACUUUGAAAAGAGGGUUAAAUAGCACGUGAAAUUGUUGAAAGGGAAGCGCUUGUGACCAGACUUGCGCCGGGCUGAUCAUCCGGUGUUCUCACCGGUGCACUCUGCCCGGCUCAGGCCAGCAUCGGUUCUCGCGGGGGGAUAAAGGCCCUGGGAAUGUAGCUCCUCCGGGAGUGUUAUAGCCCGGGGUGUAAUACCCUCGCGGGGACCGAGGUUCGCGCAUCUGCAAGGAUGCUGGCGUAAUGGUCAUCAGCGACCCGUCUUGAAACACGGACCAAGGAGUCAAGGUUUUGCGCGAGUGUUUGGGUGUAAAACCCGCACGCGUAAUGAAAGUGAACGUAGGUGAGAGCUUCGGCGCAUCAUCGACCGAUCCUGAUGUAUUCGGAUGGAUUUGAGUAGGAGCGUUAAGCCUUGGACCCGAAAGAUGGUGAACUAUGCUUGGAUAGGGUGAAGCCAGAGGAAAACUCUGGUGGAGGCUCGCAGCGGUUCUGACGUGCAAAUCGAUCGUCAAAUCUGAGCAUGGGGGGCGAAAGACUAAUCGAACCAUCUAGUAGCUGGUUACUGCGA